UGGGGAAUAUUGCGCAAUGGGGGGAACCCUGACGCAGCCAUGCCGCGUGAAUGAAGAAGGCCUUAGGGUUGUAAAGUUCCUUCGGUAUUGAGGAAGGUUGAUGUGUUAAUAGCACAUCAAAUUGACGUUAAAUACAGAAGAAGCACCGGCUAACUCCGUGCCAGCAGCCGCGGUAAUACGGAGGGUGCGAGCGUUAAUCGGAAUAACUGGGCGUAAAGGGCACGCAGGCGGUUAUUUAAGUGAGGUGUGAAAGCCCCGGGCUUAACCUGGGAAUUGCAUUUCAGACUGGGUAACUAGAGUACUUUAGGGAGGGGUAGAAUUCCACGUGUAGCGGUGAAAUGCGUAGAGAUGUGGAGGAAUACCGAAGGCGAAGGCAGCCCCUUGGGAAUGUACUGACGCUCAUGUGCGAAAGCGUGGGGAGCAAACAGGAUUAGAUACCCUGGUAGUCCACGCUGUAAACGCUGUCGAUUUGGGGGUUGGGGUUUAACUCUGGCGCCCGUAGCUAACGUGAUAAAUCGACCGCCUGGGGAGUACGGCCGCAAGGUUA
rnacentral:rRNA from 1 species